rnacentral:rRNA from 1 species
UACGGAGGGAGCUAGCGUUGUUCGGAAUUACUGGGCGUAAAGAGUACGUAGGCGGUUAUUCAAGUCCGAGGUGAAAGCCCGGGGCUCAACCCCGGAACUGCCUUUGAAACUACGUAGCUAGAAUCUUGGAGAGGUCAGUGGAAUUCCGAGUGUAGAGGUGAAAUUCGUAGAUAUUCGGAAGAACACCAGGGGCGAAGGCGACUGACUGGACAAGUAUUGACGCUGAGGUACGAAAGCGUGGGGAGCAAACAGGAUUAGAUACCCUGGUAGUCCACGCCGUAAACGAUGAUAACUAGUUGGUCGGGCACUUGGUGCCUGAGUGACGCAGCUAACGCAUUAAGUUAUCCGCCUGGGGAGUACGGUCGCAAGAUUA